AACGCGAAGAACCUUACCACCUUUUGACAUGCCUGGCUCGCCCGAGAGAUCGGGUUUUCCCUUCGGGGACCAGGACACAGGUGCUGCAUGGCUGUCGUCAGCUCGUGUCGUGAGAUGUUGGGUUAAGUCCCGCAACGAGCGCAACCCUCGCCUUUAGUUGCCAUCAUUCAGUUGGGCACUCUAAAGGGACCGCCGGUGGUAAGCCGGAGGAAGGUGGGGAUGAGGUCAAGUCCUCAUGGCCCUUACAAGGUGGGCUACACACGUGCUACAAUGGCGACUACAGAGGGCUGCAAACCCGCGAGGGGGAGCCAAUCCCUAAAAGUCGUCUCAGUUCGGAUUGCACUCUGCAACUCGAGUGCACGAAGUCGGAAUCGCUAGUAAUCGCGGAUCAGCAUGCCGCGGUGAAUACGUUCCCNGGGUCUUGUACACACCG
rnacentral:rRNA from 1 species